GCACCCAGGUCCCACAUGGCAGCGGGUACCGCCCUCACCUAACGCCUCUGGUUCGUCUCCCCACCUCGCGCCGCCGCCGCCACCGCGCUCGCCGGAUUCCGCCGCCCCGCGUUUCCUGAGCCCUGAGAGGGGGUUCGUUUCUUCGGCGACUAAUCCCGCCCGCGGGCCAUGGCGUCACUGGCUUCUCCCUCCCUCUCCCUCCACGCCAUCCCGGGGCGCGCGCGCCUUGCUGCUGCUGGGGCGCCAGGCCGGCGGCGGAGGAUGGCCGUGGUGCGGGCGAAGGUGCGGGAGAUAUUCAUGCCGGCGCUGAGCUCUACGAUGACGGAGGGGAAGAUCGUCUCCUGGACUGCCGCCGAGGGGGACCGCGUCGCCAAGGGCGACCCCGUGGUGGUCGUCGAGUCCGACAAGGCCGACAUGGACGUCGAGACGUUCCACGACGGGAUCGUCGCGGCCGUCCUCGUCCCGGCCGGCGGGACCGCGCCCGUUGGCGCCCCCAUUGCCCUCCUCGCGGAGUCCGAGGAGGAGGUCGCGAUAGCGCAGGCGCGCGCCCAGGCCCUCUCCCAGGGGCAGAGCCAUGAACCCCCUCCUCCCCAUGCCGCCGCCGCCCCGCCGCCACCUCCUCCAGCGCCAGUGGUGGCUCCAGCAACAAAGGGCGUGGCGUCGCCUUACGCCAAGAAGAUCGCGAAGCAGCACAGGGUGGACAUCGCCGGGGUUGUCGGCACCGGGCCACACGGCCGCGUCACGGCGGCGGACGUUGAGGCAGCUACUGGCAUCAAGCCGAAGCCAAAGGUCGCUCCACCUCCACCCCCACGCCCUGCCGCUGUUCGCCCUGCGCCUCCGGGUGCAGUGCUGCCACCAGUGCCCGGUGGCAAGGUGGUGCCGUUCACAACAAUGCAGGCGGCAGUGAGCAGGAACAUGGUGGACAGCAUGUCAGUGCCAACGUUCCGAGUCGGAUACUCCAUGAUCACUAAUAAGCUCGAUGCACUAUAUGAAAAGGUUAAGUCGAAGGGGGUCACAAAGACAGUGCUGCUAGUGAAGGCAGCAGCCAUGGCGCUCACCCAACACCCUGUUGUAAAUGCUAGCUGCAGAGAUGGAAAGAGCUUCAGCUACAACAGUAAUAUCAACAUUGGAGUGGCUGUUGCGAUCGAGGGUGGCCUUCUUACACCUGUUUUGGAGGAUGUUGAUAAGUUGGAUAUAUAUCUGCUUGCACAAAAGUGGAGAGUGCUACUCAAGAAGGCACGCACCAAGCAGCUACAACCAAAUGAAUACAACUCAGGGACGUUUACACUGUCCAACUUGGGUAUGUUUGGGGUUGAUAGAUUCGAUGCAAUCCUUCCAGCUGGUCAGGGAGCUAUCAUGGCUGUUGGAGCAUCAAAACCUACUGUGGUGGUUGAUAAGGAUGGUUUCUUCAGUAUCAAGAAUGAAAUGCUGGUGAAUGUUACUGCUGAUCACAGGAUUAUCUAUGGUGCUGAUUUGGCAUCAUUCCUGCAGACAUUUGCAAAGAUUGUUGAGGAUCCUGAAAGCCUCACAUUGUAAAGAAAGUCCCAAGUUGAAGCAAAGCAAAUCUUUCUUGUUUUGAGCAAAAAGUUAAAGCAAAGGUUGAAAGGGAAGAUCAUGUAGCCUAUCUGUUCGGUCAUAUGGUCUCUGAACUCCUGCUCUACGGUGGAAUUGUAGAAUGGUCAUCACCAACCGUUAUGGAAAUAGUACUGGGUUCCUAAGUUACACGAAGGUAAAAUAUGACAGCCACAAACAUCUUCUGGUGCUGCGAGAAGAACAGCAGGUCUCGCUCCACAGGCUUCAGCUGGCGCUCUGUCAGGGCAUGGGGCCUGGGCCGCCGUCUUGGGACGCCGGCGCGGCCUCCCUGACGUCGAGGAUCUCGACGCGGCGGUUGGUCCGCUUCCUGAUCUUGAUGGCCACGUCCUGCGGGCUGAAGGCGCCGCACACCAUCACCCGGCCGAGCCUCUUGUCGAUCAGGUGGCUGUCCAGCUCUGCACAGGAACGUUCAGGUGGGGAAGGGACUCUCCGAGACCAAAAUUCCAGGGAAGGCCGAGUGUUUACCUCUGAUCUGGAGGAGCGCCCUCCGGAUCCUCUGGUAGCACCCGUUGCAGUCGAUGUUCAUCCUGAGGGUCAUGCAGUACUGCAAAAUUCACAGGCACGUCACCUCCUUCGGCUUCCAAGUUUCAAAAGGCACUCUGCUCGGCUUGACAGCCACAGAAAUGAAGGUGUCGCUUACCCUGUAGUCCAUGGAGGAGGAGGAGCGCUUCUCAGCCCAGCGGCGACGGCGGCACGGCGGGUUCGACCUGACCGGAGAGAGGUUCAGAGUGUGUGAGGCCCCAGUGAGAGCAAGGGAUGUGUGCGGGCGUCAAGGUCUUAAGGGCAGUUAAAAGCAGGGGAUUAGCGUGCGAAGCGUGGCUUGAUUCUUGCUUUACUUAGAACUUGUGAGUUGAGCCUCUUUAUGGUCGAGUCAUUUCUCACUUGGUUCAUUCCAAUCCCGUGUGGGCUCGAUCGAUUUGUGUUCUGGGAAUCGGAUUCUGGGGUAAUGCAGGCUGGCUUCCAUGCAGUGUCCUUUUCGCUUCCACACAGCUUUUGUUCCGGCUGCUUGCCCCUUUGGCACUUUGAUUUGGACCCAGGACCGGUAAGGCAUGGAUGGAUACUUAUAUAGUUAUAUGCCUUCAGAUUUUUAUUGUACUUUGAUUCACCUAGUCUAAUAGAUGUCCUUGGCAGUUUGAUC